rnacentral:rRNA from 1 species
GACGAACGCUGGCGGCGUGCUUAACACAUGCAAGUCGAACGGAAAGGCCCUGCUUUUGUGGGGUGCUCGAGUGGCGAACGGGUGAGUAACACGUGAGUAACCUGCCCUUGACUUUGGGAUAACUUCAGGAAACUGGGGCUAAUACCGGAUAGGAGCUCCUGCUGCAUGGUGGGGGUUGGAAAGUUUCGGCGGUUGGGGAUGGACUCGCGGCUUAUCAGCUUGUUGGUGGGGUAGUGGCUUACCAAGGCUUUGACGGGUAGCCGGCCUGAGAGGGUGACCGGCCACAUUGGGACUGGGAUAGGCACCAGACUCCGACGGGAGGAAUGGGGGGGAAUGAUUGCACAGGGGGGGGAGGCCGAAGGCAGCAACGCCGGGGGGGGGAGGACGGCUUGGGGGUUGAAACCCGCUUUCGCCGGUAACGAGGGGUGGGGGAGGGUAAUGGCUAAAGAAGCACCGGCUAACUACGGG